rnacentral:lncRNA from 1 species
AGUGGAGCAAGGAAUCUUGAAGACAAGGUUUCUUAAAAGGGACAUCAAUAGCUUUUUAAACACCCAUUUUGGCAUUCUGAAGAGGUAUGCUAUAGUUUUUACACAAACCUAAGUUUCCAACCAAAUCAUAAUUACAGUGUUGCAGUAAUUAAUGACAUAACUCAAGAAUAUAAAAUCCACAUACCUCAAUAUAAACUUCCUGAGGUACAAUUUGUACUGCUCUUUACUAGGUACCUUUUCUGAGCAGCUUCCUCCUCCUCCAUCAAUUGCUUCUGAC